AACGAACGCUGGCGGCAUGCCUAACACAUGCAAGUCGAACGAGACCUUCGGGUCUAGUGGCGCACGGGUGCGUAACGCGUGGGAACCUGCCCUUAGGUUCGGAAUAACUCCCCGAAGGGGGUGCUAAUACCGGAUAAUGUCUUCGGACCAAAGAUUUAUCGCCUUUGGAUGGGCCCGCGUUGGAUUAGCUAGUUGGUAGGGUAAAAGCCUACCAAGGCGACGAUCCAUAGCUGGUCUGAGAGGAUGAUCAGCCACACUGGGACUGAGACGCGGCCCAGACUCCUACGGGAGGCAGCAGUGGGGAAUAUUGGACAAUGGGCGAAAGCCUGAUCCAGCAAUGCCGCGUGAGUGAUGAAGGCCUUAGGGUUGUAAAGCUCUUUUACCCGGGAUGAUAAUGACAGUACCGGGAGAAUAAGCUCCGGCUAACUCCGUG
rnacentral:rRNA from 1 species